AUUCCAGCUCCAAUAGCAUAUAUUAAAGUUGUUGCAGUUAAAAAGCUCGUAGUUGGAUUUCUGGCAUGAUGCGCCUGGCCCGCCGUGAUUACGCGUGUGUGUGCUAGUGCGCGUCUGCCAUCCAUUGGCAGAAUAUGUCUACCCUUAAUUGGGCCGGAUAUGUGAUGUCAAUCUUUUACUUUGAAAAAAUUAGAGUGUUUAAAGCAGGCAUUUGCUAUGAAUACAUUAGCAUGGAAUAAUAAUCUAGGACUUCGGUUCUAUUUUGUUGGUUUCUAGAUCUGGAGUAAUGAUUGAUAGGGAUAGUUGGGGGUGCUAGUAUUAAGGGGCCAGAGGUGAAAUUCUUGGAUUCUCUUAAGACUAACUUAUGCGAAAGCAUUCACCAAGGAUGUCUUCAUCA
rnacentral:rRNA from 1 species